AAUAGAUACCCGGGUAGUCCACGCCGUAAACGAUGUCGACUUGGAGGUUGUUCCCUUGAGGAGUGGCUUCCGGAGCUAACGCGUUAAGUCGACCGCCUGGGGAGUACGGCCGCAAGGUUAAAACUCAAAUGAAUUGACGGGGGCCCGCACAAGCGGUGGAGCAUGUGGUUUAAUUCGAUGCAACGCGAAGAACCUUACCUACUCUUGACAUCCAGAGAACUUAGCAGAGAUGCUUUGGUGCCUUUCGGGAACUCUGAGACAGGUGCUGCAUGGCUGUCGUCAGCUCGUGUUGUGAAAUGUUGGGUUAAGUCCCGCAACGAGCGCAACCCUUAUCCUUUGUUGCCAGCGGUUUCGGCCGGGAACUCAAAGGAGACUGGCCAGUGAUAAACUGGAGGAAGUGGGGAUGACGUCAAGUCAUCAUGGCCCUUACGAGUAGGGCUACACACGUGCUACAAUGGCGUAUACAAAGAGAAGCGACCUCGCGAGAGCAAGCGGACCUCAUAAAGUACGUCGUAGUCCGGAUUGGAGUCUGCAACUCGA
rnacentral:rRNA from 1 species